UACACACUUCCUUAGAUCCACUCCUGGGGCUGAGUCGGCCCAGCAACGCUGCGUUGUACCGUCGGGAGUGCUUGAGUCAUGAGUGUGUGAGAGCAGUAUACCUCCACUGUUAGCUUCAAACCCCAGUACAGCCUCGAAGGGCUCCUUCGGGGGUUUUCCCUUCUGCUACACUGUACUGGGUUGGCUGGCGGUGGGGACACU